GCAGUGGUGGUUCAGUGGUAGAAUUCUUGCCUUCCAUGCAGGAGACCCAGGUUUGAUUCCUGGCCAGUGUA
rnacentral:tRNA from 1 species